rnacentral:rRNA from 1 species
AAGAGCUUGCGCUCAAAGAAUGAAAAUUGGAAAAGAUAAAGUUUACAGGUAUUACAAGUUAUUUAUGCAAGGACUUACUGUUCAAGAAAUAUAUAAUCAAUACCUAAUAAAUAAAUCUAGAUGUGGAAAAAAGCCCAUUGUAUUAAGCAAAGAAAAAUUAAAUGAUAUCAAUAAUAAGCUAGAAAAUGAUUGGUCUUUAGAUGCUAUCGCAGGAAGAGAUAAAAUAGAUGGAAAAGAUGAAAAAAUAUCAACAAAAACAUUAUAUAAAUUAGCAAAACAAGGUGUAAUAGAUAUAAAUAAGUUGAGACGUAAGGGUAAAAAUAACCCGAAGGGUCAUAACGAAAUAAGAUGUAAAAUUAAUACAUGUAAAACAAUUCAUGGAAUAGAUGAAAAGUAUCCUAAUGCUAAAACUAGUAUAGAAUAUGGCCAUUUUGAGGGAGAUACUAUUGUAGGAAAAGCUAGAAAAUUAGCUAUAGUUACUUUAGUAGAAAAGUAUUCAAAAUAUAUUGUAUUACUUAAAGCAAGUAGAAAGAGUGAUGAUGUUAAAGAAGCAAUUUGCAAAUGGCUAUCAUCUUUACAUAAUUCAUGUAUAUCUACUAUUACAUUUGAUAUAGGUAAAGAGUUUUCAAAAUGGUCAGACAUAGAAAAAGAUAGUUCAGUUAAUAUUGAAAUUUACUUUGGAGACUCUGGAUCACCAGGUCAAAGAUGUCUAAAUGAGAAUUCAAAUGGAAUAGUUAGAAAGGAUUUACCUAAGUCUACAGAUUUAUCUGUAUAUUCUCAAGAAGAAUUAAAUAUGAUUGCCUAUAAAUGGAAUUCUAUACCUAAAAAAUCACUAAACUAUAAAACACCAAAUGAGGUUAUAAAAGAAGCAACUGAAUUUGAAAGCUUACUUCCAGUUGCUUAAUGAUUCAUAAGUAAUUUGUCUGAUUUAAAUUGACAAUUCAGGAAAUAAAAAAAAGAUUACGUGGCUACGUGCUACUCUCCCAGGCGGUCGCCCGCCAAGUACCAUUGCCGCUAAAGAGCUUAACUUCUGUGUUCGGUAUGGGAACAGGUGUAUCCUCUUUGCUAUAAUAACCACAUAAUCUUUAAUUUAGAGUUAAUACUCUGAAAACUGCAUAUCAUUUAANNNNNNNNNNNNNNNNNNNNNNNNNNNNNNAUUACAAUUUCACCGAGUCUAUUGUUGAGACAGUGCCCAAAUCGUUACGCCUUUCGUGCGGGUCGGAACUUACCCGACAAGGAAUUUCGCUACCUUAGGACCGUUAUAGUUACGGCCGCCGUUUACUGGGGCUUAAGUUCACUGCUUCGAUUGCUCUAACAGAUCCCCUUAACCUUCCAGCACCGGGCAGGCGUCAGCUCCUAUACAUCGUCUUGCGACUUAGCAGAAACCUGUGUUUUUGGUAAACAGUCGCUUGGGCCUAUUCUCUGCGGCCUGUCAUAGACAGGCACCCCUUCUCCCUAAGUUACGGGGUCAUUUUGCCGAGUUCCUUAACAAUAGUUCUCUCGCUGGCCUUAGGAUACUCUCCUCACCCACCUGUGUCGGUUUACGGUACGGGCGCCUUUAAACUCGAUAGAAGCUUUUCUUGACAGUGUGAAAUCAGCUACUUCGCCCCGAAGGGCUUCCCCAUCACAUCCUAGCAUUGUCUAAACGGAUUUGCCUAUUUAGACUGCCUCAAUGCUUAGCCGUACAUAACCAACAGUACGGUUAGCUUAUCCUACUGUGUCACUCCAUCUCUCAAACGCUUAUUGGCGGUACAGGAAUAUCAACCUGUUGUCCAUCACCUACGCCUUUCGGCCUCGGCUUAGGUCCCGACUAACCCAGGGCGGACGAACCUUCCCCUGGAAACCUUGGGUUUACGGCCCGUGGGAUUCUCACCCACGUCUCGCUACUCAUGCCAACAUUCUCACUCGUAUACUGUCCACAUGUCCUUACGGUCAUGCUUCAGCCUGCAUACGAAGCUCCCCUACCCAUCAUAAUUGAUGCCGUAGCUUCGGUAGUACGUUUUAGCCCCGGAAAUUUUCGGCGCAGGAUCACUCGACCAGUGAGCUAUUACGCACUCUUUAAAUGAGUGGCUGCUUCUAAGCCAACAUCCUGGUUGUCUGUGCAAUCCCACAUCCUUUACCACUUAACGUACAUUUAGGGACCUUAGCUGACGAUCUGGGCUGUUGCCCUUUUGACUAUGAAUCUUAUCACCCACAGUCUGACUCCCAAGUAAAAGAAAACGGCAUUCGGAGUUUGAUAGUCUUCGGUAAGUGCAAUACCCCCUAGGACAUUCAGUGCUCUACCUCCGUUUCUCUACGCUUGAGGCUAGCCCUAAAGCUAUUUCGGGGAGAACCAGCUAUCUCCGGGCUCGAUUGGAAUUUCACCGCUAUCCACAAGUCAUCCCCGAGCUUUUCAACGCUCGUGGGUUCGGUCCUCCACGAAAUUUUACUUUCGCUUCAACCUGCUCAUGGAUAGGUCGCCCGGUUUCGGGUCUACGCCAAGUAACUUAAUCGCCCAUUUAAGACUCGCUUUCGCUACGGCUCCACACCUUAAGUGCUUAACCUUGCUACUUAACGUAACUCGUUGGCCCGUUCUACAAAAAGUACGCGGUCACACAAGUAAUGUGCUCCCACAGCUUGUAAGUACAGGGUUUCAGGUUCUAUUUCACUCCCCUCCCGGGGUUCUUUUCACCUUUCCCUCACGGUACUAUGCGCUAUCGGUCACUAGGUAGUAUUUAGGCUUGGAGGAUGGUCCCUCCUGCUUCCCACAGGGUUUCACGUGUCCCGUGGUACUCUGGAUCAUAUCUAAAGAAUUAUCGUUUUAACUACGUGGCUAUUACACUUUAUAGCGGAGCUUUCCAACUCUCUUCAUCUACGAUGACCUCUUCGUUAAUGACAUGUCCGCAACCCCAACGAAGUAAACUUCAUUGGUUUGGCCUGUUCCGCGUUCGCUCGCCGCUACUUACGGAAUCGAAUUUCUUUCUCUUCCUCCGGGUACUUAGAUGUUUCAGUUCCCCGGGUUCCCCUCGCUAAGCUAUGUAUUCACUUAACGAUACUUAGACAUUACUCUAAGUGAGUUUCCUCAUUCGGAAAUCUUCGGAUCAAAGUUUACGUGCAACUCCCCGAAGCUUAUCGCAGCUUAUCACGUCCUUCAUCGGCUCCUAGUGCCAAGGCAUCCGCCCUGCACCCUUAAUAACUUGA